UUCGCGUUCGACGCGCCUCCCUUAUGGAACGUCAUUGCUAAAGUUGAGCGUACGGCAACCUUCCGGUCGGGUUCCAGUAAACUAAUGGCACUAUUAAAGAGUUUCUUAGAAGUUAUUUGAGAUAAAAGAAAUCAGCCUUGUACCUUCCUGCCAAAAAAUAACGUCUCUCAACUCUCGCUGGGUGACCCGAGGGAUGAUCCGAGUCUUGAGAAAGCACGGCCGGAAUGCUGCUCGCACACAGCGCUCAGGGGAAGUGAAACGGCACUGAAGAGGAACGUGGUCCGUGGCUGGAAAUGCGCUUUGUGAAAUAAAUGUUUCUCCCCUCAGCAAACAAGUCAUGGAAUCCCUACAGUUCGAAUGUGUGAGUCCCACGUUAUAGCUGUUAUGGAGAUGUUAACAACCUGAAACAAUAGCGAGUUGUUCAAG